CGACUGAUCGCUAUCGACCGGCCGCGGUUUCGCGUGUCAGUGUCGGCAGCUUGGUCGAUCCUUCCAAUGGCCGACGGCUUAUCUUCAUUGAUGGGUCGCCGGUGUUGGAUCCUUUACUUUGAACAAAUUAGAGUGUUUCAAGCAGGCUUUAUGCUAUGAAUACAUUAGCAUGGAAUAAUAAUUUAGGACUUCGGUUCUAUUUUGUUGGUUUCUAGGACGGAAGUA
rnacentral:rRNA from 1 species